rnacentral:rRNA from 1 species
UACGGGGGGAGCAAGCGUUGUUCGGAUUUACUGGGCGUAAAGGGCGCGUAGGCGGCCUCUGCAAGUCGACUGUGAAAUCUCCGGGCUCAACCCGGAGGAGUCGGCCGAAACUGGUGUUCUUGAGGGAGGCAGAGGAGUCUGGAAUUCCCGGUGUAGCGGUGAAAUGUGUAGAGAUCGGGAGGAACACCGGUGGCGAAGGCGGGACUCUGGGCCUACCCUGACGCUGAGGCGCGAAGGCGUGGGGAGCAAACGGG